rnacentral:rRNA from 1 species
AAUCAACGCUGGCGGCGUGCCUAACACAUGCAAGUCGAACGCGAAAGCCCCUUCGGGGGUAAGUAGAGUGGCGUCCGGGUGAGUAACACGUAGGUAAUCUGCCUUCGGGUGGGGAAUAACCAGUCGAAAGAUUGGCUAAUACCGCAUAAUGCAGCGGCACCUAAUGGUGAUUAGUUGUUAAAGCGGGGGAUCGUAAGACCUCGCGCCUGAAGAGGAGCCUGCGGCAGAUUAGCUAGNGGUGAGGUAAUGGCUCACCAAGGCUUCGAUCUGUAGCUGGUCUGAGAGGACGGCCAGCCACACUGGCACUGACACACGGGCCAGACUCCUACGGGAGGCAGCAGUGGGGAAUUUUGGGCAAUGGGCGAAAGCCUGACCCAGCAACGCCGCGUGAGGGGAGGAAAUCCUUCGGGAUGUAAACCUCACAAGCAAGGGAAGAGAGCUCAAGGCCGAAUAAGCUUUGAGUCCGACGGUACCUUGCGUAAGCCACGGCUAACUACGUGCCAGC